rnacentral:rRNA from 1 species
AGCUGAGGAAAAGAAACCAACAGGGAUUGCCUCAGUACGGCGAGUGAGCGGCAAAAGCUCAAAUUUGAAACCCUCGGGAUUGUAAUUUGAAGAUUUGGCAUUGGAGAAAGCUAACCCAAGUUGCUUGGAAUAGUACGUCAUAGAGGGUGACAACCCCGUCUGGCUAACCGUUCUCCAUGUAUUGCCUUAUCAAAGAGUCGAGUUGUUUGGGAAUGCAGCUCAAAGUGGGUGGUAAACUCCAUCUAAAGCUAAAUACUGGUGAGAGACCGAUAGCGAACAAGUACUGUGAAGGAAAGGUGAAAAGAACUUUGAAAAGAGAGUGAAAUAGUAUGUGAAAUUGUUGAUAGGGAAGGAAAUGAGUGGAGAGUGGCCGAGGUUUCAGCCGCCCCUCGUGGGCGGUGUACUGCCGACGCCGAGUCAUCGAUAGCGAGACGAGGGUUACAAAUGGGAGCGCCUUUCGGGCGUUCUUCCCCUAACCCUCCACACUGCCACCGACGACAUAAUCCACCCAUUUCACCCGUCUUG